GACGAACGCUGGCGGCGUGCUUAACACAUGCAAGUCGAACGAAGAGCGAUGGAAGCUUGCUUCUAUCAAUCUUAGUGGCGAACGGGUGAGUAACGCGUAAUCAACCUGCCCUUCAGAGGGGGACAACAGUUGGAAACGACUGCUAAUACCGCAUACGAUCUAAUCUCGGCAUCGAGGAUAGAUGAAAGGUGGCCUCUACAUGUAAGCUAUCACUGAAGGAGGGGAUUGCGUCUGAUUAGCUAGUUGGAGGGGUAACGGCCCACCAAGGCGAUGAUCAGUAGCCGGUCUGAGAGGAUGAACGGCCACAUUGGGACUGAGACACGGCCCAGACUCCUACGGGAGGCAGCAGUGGGGAAUCUUCCGCAAUGGACGAAAGUCUGACGGAGCAACGCCGCGUGAGUGAGACGGCCUUCGGGUUGUAAAGCUUUGUUAAUCGGGACGAAAGGCCUUC
rnacentral:rRNA from 1 species